UAUGAAUGCCCUAAGGUCUAAAAGGUAUAAUCACACCUAGAGGGGGGUGAAUAGGUGUAAACGAUAAACCAACCAACUCGAUGCAAUAAAAAUAAGUGCGAAAAAAUUAAAGCCAACACACCGAGGUUUUUACGUGGGAAAACACCAACUAGAAGUAAAAAAUCCACGAGACAAAUCACACGAAACAAUCCACUAUAAAAAGAUGAGUACAAGGUAAUUUACCAAAUUCACGACUCAAUUUUUACCGAAUCCUCGCAGUAGAUCAUCUUCGUUGGUCCUCGAUUAAUUGAACUUCUCCAAUCAAUCACGCCGCGACUCCUCACAGCAAUAACACCUCGACUCCUCUAGCGUCCACCGAAUCCUCGGCCUCACGCAAAACUCUCGCGCAAUAGCUCCGUCCGGAGCCCGUAGAAAUAUAGUUGGUGAUGAUUUGAACGCUUAGAAGAACAUAAGAUAUGAGGAGAACCCAUUUAACCCAUCAUCAACUUGAUUCUGAAAGGAGCAUUAGAAUCGAAAACCUAAGAUUCCAGUUGAUGAUCGAAAGAUCAAAACUUGCUUUAAGAAGUGAAUCAAAAGCACCAAAAGCAAGUUUCUAGGGUUUCCUAUUGAUCUUCUCUCUAAGCUUAUGUUUUAGGAGGACCCCCAUAUCUUGUUUAUAGGUUUAGGAGACAUUAGAGUCAUACUAGCAAUGAAAAAUAUGUUUCCGAAAACAGACGAUGGGUUCAGGGUCCGGACCUUGUUAAGUCUUGUGUGUUGGCAAGUUUCGUGAAGUGAGUCGGAGUCUUGAAGAAUCGGUGCGUGUCGUCGAAGAUUGAAGAAUUCAAGAUUUCGAAGAAGUUGGAAAAUAACUCACGAUAUGAAUCACGACGUAAAGGUAAAGUUUUAAUUCAUGUUAUGGUGAUUCAUACUUAAUUAUAGGCAUUAGAAUCAUUUAAUCAAAGUUAAGUUGAUUAGAAAGUGCUUCGGAACUUUGCGGAACCCGAAACGGUGCAAAAUCCGAAAAAUUGCAUUGUGUACCGGUACAGCAAUUACCCCGUACCGGUACAGCCAUCAACAUUGGCAAUGCAAAUUUGUUCCGUCAUUGUGUAACCGGUGACAGCAUUUCGCGUACCCGUACACAGUGUAAAAUCGUGAAAUUUUUCUAAUCCGACUCUAAUUGAUUCUAAAGUCUAUAAAUAAGCUAUAGGGGUUCUCUAAUUAAUCAAGCAUUAUAAGAAUACAUGUUUGAGAAACCCUAGAGGCUUGGAUUUCAUCUAAAACCUAUUUUCUACAUAUUAGCCUCUUUUAGGUCAAAUCGGAAUAUUGUACUUUGAUAUCUAUAUGCCGAUUUGAUCUCCGCUUCGCUUGGAGUUCUAUUCCCUGGUUUUCUACGAUACUCCUAAGCGAAGGAUCACCAUAAUCAUGAUGCUCUUCAUGAACGGCGUCGUGGAUUCGGCGUGAACAAAGGCGGUUCGUGGAUUCGGAUCGUUGGCUCGUGGAUUCGAGUGGCGUCGUGGAUUCGGCGUGAUUGAAGCUUCGUGGAUUCGAAGUGAAGGCGUUCGUGGAUUCGGACGUGAGGGCGUGGACAACCCGGAGGAUUGCGCGAGAUUCAUAGGAGGUUAAGAGAGGUUGAGUCCGUGGAGUCGGUAAAUCACCUUGUAAUCUUUUCUCUUAGUGAAUUGUUUUUUCGCGUGUUGGUCCCGUGGGUUUUUCUCCAAGUUGGAGUUUUCCCACGUAAAUCUCGGUGUGCUUUUUAUUUUCCGCAUUUAUUUUUUAUUGCAUCGAGAUUUGUGGUUUUUGGCCGUUCACCUAUUCACCCCCCCUCUAGGUGAUAGAUACAAUCUAGAUAGAUCCUUGGGCUCCUCAAAACUUUCAAUUGGUAUCAGAGCGGGAUCUAGAUAAAUUGCUAUCUAAUG
rnacentral:lncRNA from 1 species